AGCUGUGGCUCCAGCUGCAUGCCACUGCCUUUGGUUUGUACACAUGUGCUGGGUUUCAAACUCAGGUCCUCAUGUUUGUACUCAAGGCACUGUCCUGCUGUUAUCAUCUCCCUUGCCUCUGAUUCAUUUUAUUUAAAGAAGUAAGUCUCAUGAACAAAAUCAAAUAUAUCAGAUUCAGGGGAGUCAUACACAGGCAAAAAAAAAUCCAAUAGAAUAAAAGAUUGGUAUUCUUUUCCUUUAUUUCAUACAUAUUUCUGAAGGAUACUAUGAUUCAGGAAAUGCACAUGAACUAUCAUGACACUAAAUUCAUAUAUGUAUAUUUCAGACAUUAGUAAAAACUGUAAAAUUCCUAUCUGGUCAGUUUGACUGACUUAGAUUUACUUAGAGUUUGUUGUAUUGGAGUGAUGAAGUUUAUCGCUUUUGUCCCUUGUUGGUCAACUUAACUACUUAACCACCAACAAUUACCCAAUUAAAAAAGUCAAACCAAUUGCAGUGGUCUUCAUUCUAAUUCAUUGAGGUCACAUAACUAGAAAUUAAGAAAUUUAUGCAUGUGUGUGUGCAUAUAUGUGUGUGUACACCAGUAUGGGAGUGCAUGAGUAUAUGUGUAUGUAUACAUGUGGGGUCAAUGGGUUGACAUGAGGUUUUGGUUUUCAAGAGUCAUUUUGAUGAUGAUAGUGAUUUCUGAGACAGAGUCUCUUACAGGGAUCCAGUGGCCAUUGUUUGAAGCUGUGAAAGUGAAGCUUGUAUUGUGUUGGAGACAUCAAGACGUUGGAGAUAACAGAGCAAUGACAGGAUAUCUGUCAAUACUAGCUGCAAACAGGAAGCAGCUCAAGAAAGAGAAAGUUUGGAGUGUUUAAUGUGACCACAUGGCUGAAAUUCAAGCUCAUUGUUUGAUGCUUAGAAAUACUCCAGGAAUCCACUCCAUCUCCACCCUCCCAUCUGCUCCAAAGAACAGAACAUUCUUCAGUCCUGAGGACCUGAGGAUUCUGACUCCUGACUCCAUCAAAACAAAAAGAUGAUACCGACAAAAGUUCUCUGACAUGUGGGAUUUGGGUUUGAAAGGUAGAAGAGGAGGUAUACUUUUAGGAUUGCAAGUGGAAAAACUGCAAGAGAAAUCUCUCAGAGAAAUACAGAACCAUUGUUCAGCUAACGAUGCCAAGGAGUACAGAAGACAACUUCAUGAAUAUUUCCCAGAAAUGCCCAAGUUAAUAUGUUCUUGUGUGCUGGAGGCUCUAACCACUAGUGAGUCAUCAUAGGAAGAGUGGCCACACAAAUUCAGACCACACAAGACUUCAACCUGGGCCCUGAGUAGGUCAAAGACUCACCACACAUUUAAAUUUCCUCAAGAAUAAAUUGAUUGUUGAACUGUACUUUAGAAUUGUAAUUGGAAAAUUGAUAAAGCUCACUUCAUAGUAUUUUCCAUCAUGUGCUUCAGCUAGUAGAAAUGUAGAAAUGCACAAUUAAAUGAUGGCUAGCAAAUACUUGCA